AGAGUUUGAUCCUGGCUCAGGACGAACGCUGGCGGCGCGCCUAACACAUGCAAGUCGAACGAGCGAGAGAGAGCUUGCUUUCUCAAGCGAGUGGCGAACGGGUGAGUAACGCGUGAGGAACCUGCCUCAAAGAGGGGGACAACAGUUGGAAACGACUGCUAAUACCGCAUAAGCCCACGACCCGGCAUCGGGUAGAGGGAAAAGGAGCAAUCCGCUUUGAGAUGGCCUCGCGUCCGAUUAGCUAGUUGGUGAGGUAAUGGCCCACCAAGGCGACGAUCGGUAGCCGGACUGAGAGGUUGAACGGCCACAUUGGGACUGAGACACGGCCCAGACUCCUACGGGAGGCAGCAGUGGGGAAUAUUGCACAAUGGGGGAAACCCUGAUGCAGCGACGCCGCGUGGAGGAAGAAGGUCUUCGGAUUGUAAACUCCUGUUGUUGAGGAAGAUAAUGACGGUACUCAACAAGGAAGUGACGGCUAACUACGUGCCAGCAGCCGCGGUAAAACGUAGGUCACAAGCGUUGUCCGGAAUUACUGGGUGUAAAGGGAGCGCAGGCGGGAAGACAAGUUGGAAGUGAAAUCCAUGGGCUCAACCCAUGAACUGCUUUCAAAACUGUUUUUCUUGAGUAGUGCAGAGGUAGGCGGAAUUCCCGGUGUAGCGGUGGAAUGCGUAGAUAUCAGGAGGAACACCAGUGGCGAAGGCGGCUUACUGGACGGUAACUGACGUUGAGGCUCGAAAGCGUGGGGAGCAAACAGAAUUAGAUACCCUGGUAGUCCACGCCGUAAACG
rnacentral:rRNA from 1 species